AUUGAACGCUGGCGGCAUGCCUUACACAUGCAAGUCGAACGGCAGCACGGGAGCAAUCCUGGUGGCGAGUGGCGAACGGGUGAGUAAUAUAUCGGAACGUGCCCAGUCGUGGGGGAUAGCGCAGCGAAAGCUGUGCUAAUACCGCAUACGAUCUAAGGAUGAAAGCGGGGGAUCGCAAGACCUCGCGCGAUUGGAGCGGCCGAUAUCAGAUCAGCUAGUUGGUGGGGUAAAGGCCCAUCAAUGCGACGAUCUGUAGCUGGUCUGCGAGGACGGCCAGCCAGACUGGAACUGAGGCACGGUCCAGACUCCUACGGGAGGCAGAAGUGGGGAAUUUUGGACAGUGGGCGCAAGCCUGAUCCAGCAAUGCCGCGUGCAGGAUGAAGGCCUUCGGGUUGUAAACUGCUUUUGUACGGAACGAAACGGCCCUUUCUAAUACAGGGGGCUAAUGACGGUACCGUAAGAAUAAGCACCGGCUAACUACGUGCCAGCCGCCGUAAUAC
rnacentral:rRNA from 1 species